rnacentral:misc_RNA from 1 species
GUGAAUCAUCAAAUCUUUGAACGCAAAUUGCGCUUCCUAGCAUGCCGGGAAGUAUGCCUGUUUGAGGUUCAGUAUUAACAAAAAAAUCGGUUUGGUUGCGAAUUGUGACGUUUCCGGAGUUUGGGCUAUCUUAACUUUUUUGGUUGAGGGGCUUAAAAUUGACCUUUUUUGCGCAUUUUUAGACGUACAUAAAUUUUUUUUUUAUUGGUCUAUUUUUAAUGCAAAAAUCUUAUUAGAUGAUAUCAC